rnacentral:lncRNA from 1 species
UUCGACGAAAGAAGAAACUUCAUUGCUUGUUCUUCACUCUUCUUUCCCGCUUGAAUAUUCCACUUUUUUCUUCUGCCUUAGAUUAAUACCUUUCUUUAAGUAUACACCUUCCUUAUCCUUAGAGGAGUCCUGAUAUGGUCAAUUUCCUUUCAAAGCUGAAUUCAAGUCUAGUCGACCCUUGAGUGAUGCAAGCUUGAUAAAGACGCGGAGUUCCACUCUUCAACCUUCUUUCUUUAGGUUCGAUGAAGAGAGAGGAUGGACUGAGCCCGCUAGCGCGAAAGCGCCCUUCCUUUUCUUGCUGGACUCUACCUAUCUUGGUCUGAUUCCUUCAACCGGGCUGAAUGAAGAAGAGUCAGUCUGAUGACGGAGAGGGGAAAGCAAACUCCUGGUAGUCCUUUCCUUAUGGUUGCCGUUUAGGAGCUAGUAUUCAUUCGCAAAGGCAUACGCUAUACUUAAGAGACUGGCCGAGGGUGGAUGUAAUUCAGCUCGACGGAGAGUAAUUCUGCUACUUCCUCCUUGACACUCAAAGUC